CAACUACUCCCUCUGUCCCAAAUUUCUUGUCUUAGAUUUGUCUAGAUACAGAUGUAUCUAAUACUAAAAUGUGACUUGAUACAUCUGUAUCUAGACAAAUCUAAGACAAGAAUUUUGGGACGGAGGGAGUACUUU
rfam:Triticum aestivum genome assembly, contig: Triticum_aestivum_CS42_TGACv1_scaffold_306227_4AS